rnacentral:rRNA from 1 species
AGUGAACGCUGGCGGUAGGCCUAACACAUGCAAGUCGAACGGCAGCACAGUAAGAGCUUGCUCUUACGGGUGGCGAGUGGCGGACGGGUGAGGAAUACAUCGGAAUCUACUUUUUCGUGGGGGAUAACGUAGGGAAACUUACGCUAAUACCGCAUACGACCUACGGGUGAAAGCAGGGGAUCUUCGGACCUUGCGCGAUUGAAUGAGCCGAUGUCGGAUUAGCUAGUUGGCGGGGUAAAGGCCCACCAAGGUGACGAUCCGUAGCUGGUCUGAGAGGAUGAUCAGCCACACUGGAACUGAGACACGGUCCAGACUCCUACGGGAGACAGCAGUGGGGAAUAUUGGACAAUGGGCGCAAGCCUGAUCCAGCCAUACCGCGUGGGUGAAGAAGGCCUUCGGGUUGUAAAGCCCUUUUGUUGGGAAAGAAAAGCAGCAGGUUAAUACCCCGCUGUUCUGACGGUACCCAAAGAAUAAGCACCGGCUAACUUCGUG